rnacentral:rRNA from 1 species
AGAACGAACGCUGGCGGCGUGGAUAAGACAUGCAAGUCGAACGCGACUUAUUUUGUUAGCAAUAACGAGAUAAGUUGAGUGGCGAAAGGGUGCGUAACACGUGGGAAUUUACCAAGAAGUGGGGAAUAGCUCGACGAAAGUCGAAUUAAUACCGCAUGUGAUCGAAAGAUCAAAGUCGGGGACCGCAAGGCCUGACGCUUUUUGAGGAGCCCGCGGCCCAUCAGCUAGUUGGUGAGGUAAAAGCUCACCAAGGCUAUGACGGGUAGCUGGUCUGAGAGGACGACCAGCCACACUGGAACUGAGACACGGUCCAGACACCUACGGGUGGCAGCAGUCGAGAAUUUUUCACAAUGG